rnacentral:misc_RNA from 1 species
AAGUCGUAACAAGGUUUCCGUAGGUGAACCUGCGGAAGGAUCAUUAUUACGAAAUCAAAAAUCGUAACCCCAAACAACAAAUUGUGCAUACUUUACUGUUCCGGUAGUUUCAUUUGACCUUUGUAAAGGCUUACUUUGAUGUGCUUGCUUCAAAAACAUGCAUAUUCAAAGCACUUCUGAGCAGAUGAAGUGAACGGGUCUUUUUCGUCGAAUGAUUUCAAACUACCGGUUAGUAUUAUCUGCUCACACACUUAACAAACCAUUAACCCCAUGUAACUAUUUUGAACUAAAUACAUCUGACGCAUGCAUCUCAUGUAUGUGUCUGAAUCAAAACCGAACUUAAGAACAACUCUUAACAACGGAUAUCUUGGUUCUC